rnacentral:rRNA from 1 species
GUGAUCUAGCCAUGGGCAGGUUGAAGGUUGAGUAACAUCAACUGGAGGACCGAACCGACUAAUGUUGAAAAAUUAGCGGAUGACUUGUGGCUAGGGGUGAAAGGCCAAUCAAACUCGGAGAUAGCUGGUUCUCCCCGAAAGCUAUUUAGGUAGCGCCUCGGACGAAUACUACUGGGGGUAGAGCACUGUUAAGGCUAGGGGGUCAUCCCGACUUACCAACCCUUUGCAAACUCCGAAUACCAGUAAGUACUAUCCGGGAGACACACGGCGGGUGCUAACGUCCGUCGUGGAGAGGGAAACAACCCAGACCGCCAGCUAAGGUCCCAAAUUACAGCUAAGUGGGAAACGAUGUGGGAAGGCUCAGACAGCUAGGAUGUUGGCUUAGAAGCAGCCAUCAUUUAAAGAAAGCGUAAUAGCUCACUAGUCGAGUCGGCCUGCGCGGAAGAUGUAACGGGGCUAAGCUGUAAACCGAAGCUGCGGCAAUGCGAUUUAUCGUAUUGGGUAGGGGAGCGUUCUGUAAGCCGUUGAAGGUGUGUUGUAAAGCAUGCUGGAGGUAUCAGAAGUGCGAAUGCUGACAUGAGUAACGACAAGGGGGGUGAAAAACCUCCCCGCCGGAAGACCAAGGGUUCCUGUCCAACGUUAAUCGGGGCAGGGUAAGUCGACCCCUAAGGCGAGGCCGAAAGGCGUAGUCGAUGGGAAACGGGUUAAUAUUCCCGUACUUCUUACAAUUGCGAUGGGGGGACGGAGAAGGCUAGGUGGGCCUGGCGACGGUUGUCCAGGUUCAAGUGCGUAGGCUUGAGGGUUAGGUAAAUCCGGCUCUCUCUAAGGCUGAGACACGACGUCGAGCUACUACGGUAGUGAAGUCAUUGAUGCCAUGCUUCCAGGAAAAGCCUCUAAGCUUCAGAUUGUAAGGAAUCGUACCCCAAACCGACACAGGUGGUCGGGUAGAGAAUACCAAGGCGCUUGAGAGAACUCGGGUGAAGGAACUAGGCAAAAUGGUACCGUAACUUCGGGAGAAGGUACGCUCUUGAUGGUGAAGUCCCUCGCGGAUGGAGCUGAUGAGAGUCGCAGAUACCAGGUGGCUGCAACUGUUUAUUAAAAACACAGCACUGUGCAAAAUCGUAAGAUGACGUAUACGGUGUGACGCCUGCCCGGUGCCGGAAGGUUAAUUGAUGGGGUUAGCGUAAGCGAAGCUCUUGAUCGAAGCCCCGGUAAACGGCGGCCGUAACUAUAACGGUCCUAAGGUAGCGAAAUUCCUUGUCGGGUAAGUUCCGACCUGCACGAAUGGCGUAAUGAUGGCCACGCUGUCUCCACCCGAGACUCAGUGAAAUUGAAAUCGCUGUGAAGAUGCAGUGUACCCGCGGCUAGACGGAAAGACCCCGUGAACCUUUACUACAGCUUGGCACUGAACAUUGAACCUACAUGUGUAGGAUAGGUGGGAGGCUUUGAAGACAUGACGCUAGUUGUGUUGGAGCCGUCCUUGAAAUACCACCCUUGUAUGUUUGAUGUUCUAACUUAGCCCCGUUAUCCGGGGUGAGGACAGUGCCUGGUGGGUAGUUUGACUGGGGCGGUCUCCUCCCAAAGAGUAACGGAGGAGCACGAAGGUGGGCUAAUCACGGUUGGACAUCGUGAGGUUAGUGCAAUGGCAUAAGCCCGCUUAACUGCGAGAAUGACGGUUCGAGCAGGUGCGAAAGCAGGUCAUAGUGAUCCGGUGGUUCUGUAUGGAAGGGCCAUCGCUCAACGGAUAAAAGGUACUCCGGGGAUAACAGGCUGAUACCGCCCAAGAGUUCAUAUCGACGGCGGUGUUUGGCACCUCGAUGUCGGCUCAUCACAUCCUGGGGCUGAAGUCGGUCCCAAGGGUAUGGCUGUUCGCCAUUUAAAGUGGUACGCGAGCUGGGUUUAGAACGUCGUGAGACAGUUCGGUCCCUAUCUGCCGUGGGCGUUGGAAGAUUGAAGGGGGCUGCUCCUAGUACGAGAGGACCGGAGUGGACGAACCUCUGGUGUUCGGGUUGUGUCGCCAGACGCAUUGCCCGGUAGCUAAGUUCGGAAUCGAUAACCGCUGAAAGCAUCUAAGCGGGAAGCGAGCCCUGAGAUGAGUCUUCCCUGAUACUUUAAGUAUCCUAAAGGGUUGUUCGAGACUAGAACGUUGAUAGGCAGGGUGUGUAAGCGUUGUGAGGCGUUGAGCUAACCUGUACUAAUUGCCCGUGAGGCUUAACCAU